rnacentral:rRNA from 1 species
GAUGAACGCUGGCGGCAGGCUUAACACAUGCAAGUCGAACGCUCGUAGCAAUACGGGAGUGGCGGACGGGUGAGUAACGCGUGGGAACGUGCCCUGAGGUACGGAAUAACUGCGGGAAACUGCAGCUAAUACCGUAUGAGCCCCGUGAGGGGGAAAGAUUUAUCGCCUUAGGAGCGGCCCGCGUCGGAUUAGGUAGUUGGUGGGGUAAAGGCUCACCAAGCCAACGAUCUGUAGCUGGUCUGAGAGGACGACCAGCCACACUGGAACUGAGACACGGUCCAGACUCCUACGGGAGGCAGCAGUGGGGAAUUUUGGACAAUGGGCGCAAGCCUGAUCCAGCCAUUCCGCGUGCAGGAUGAAGGCCUUCGGUUGUAAACUGCUUUGUACGGAACGAAACGGACGAGCUCUAAUACAGUUUGCUAAUGACGGUACCGUAAGAAUAAGCACCGGCUAACUACGUGCCAGCAGCCGCGGUAAACCUAGUCUACG